rnacentral:piRNA from 1 species
UGGGCAUGUUUUUGGAGCUAAUCUAACUU